UACCAGACUCCUACGGGAGGCAGCAGUGGGGAAUAUUGCACAAUGGGGGAAACCCUGAUGUAGCAACGCCGCGUGGGUGAAGAAGUAUUUCGGUAUGUAAAGCCCUAUCAGCAGGGAAGAGAAUGACGGUACCUGACUAAGAAGCCCCGGCUAACUACGUGCCAGCAGCCGCGGUAAUACGUAGGGGGCAAGCGUUAUUCGGAUUUACUGGGUGUAAAGGGAGCGUAGACGGUUGUGCAAGUCUGAAGUGAAAGCCCGCGGCUCAACUGCGGAACGGCUUUGGAAACUGUGUAACUGGAGUGCUGGAGAGGUAAGCGGAAUUCCUGGUGUAGCGGUGAAAUGCGUAGAGAUCAGGAGGAACACCGGCGGCGAAGGCGGCCUGCUGGACCGUGACUGACGUUGAGGCUCGAGAGCGUGGGGAGCAAACAGGAUUAGAUACCCCCGUA
rnacentral:rRNA from 1 species